UACGUAGGGUGCGAGCGUUGUCCGGAAUUAUUGGGCGUAAAGGGCUCGUAGGCGGUUUGUCGCGUCGGGAGUGAAAACCAGGUGCUUAACUCCUGGCUUGCUUUCGAUACGGGCAGACUAGAGGUAUUCAGGGGAGAACGGAAUUCCUGGUGUAGCGGUGAAAUGCGCAGAUAUCAGGAGGAACACCGGUGGCGAAGGCGGUUCUCUGGGAAUGACCUGACGCUGAGGAGCGAAAGUGUGGGGAGCGAACAGG
rnacentral:rRNA from 1 species